GCUAAAUCCAUGGACAGUCAGGAAUGAAAGAUCAUGAGUAGCCUGCAACCCCACAAGCUGGAACCUAUAAGAAUGAAUUGAAACACGUGUCCUUGUUCAUUCUUUUUGUCUCUAACCUUGAGGACAUGAGUAUCCUGCAGAAGCCAGGUCUUUCAUCAAAGAGUUCAACACACAUUGGCCUAUGAGUCAGAGAAACUGAAGGAGGAUACAAGGCAAGGUAGAGCAAUUGCAGACACGGCUGCUGCUUCACACCAAUGAGGACCCAGCAUUCAAGGCACCAUCUUGGAAGCAGAUAUAGACCUUUAUCAGACAAGGAACCUGCCUAUGUGUUGUUCUUGGAUUACAAAGCCUUCAGAACUGUG
rnacentral:lncRNA from 1 species